UCAGCCGCUGGAGAUAAUGACGUUGUCCUGUAAAUAAACAUGCAUGAGGAUCAUAGUAACUUUAUCUGGCAUUGAUCACUGAGCAUGGCUGGAUAAAUUUUGCUCCAGUGGUUAUAGGAUGCAUGUGUUUGUUUUGUCUUGCUAUGUAAU